AUCCAGCUGACGAGUCCCAAACAGGACGAAACGCGCGUGCUGGAU
rfam:Schistosoma margrebowiei strain Zambia genome assembly, scaffold: SMRZ_contig0001240